UCGGAAGGGCAAGUACUGUCGGCGCCCAGGUCUGGCUCCACACGCCAUUUCGGUGUGGUGGCCUAGUGCCUUUGGGCAGUGUUUCAUACCUGACUGCACUGGCUCCCACCACGGAGCUGGUCCUAAGCUGGGUGCAAACAUU
rnacentral:snoRNA from 1 species